AACGCGAAGAACCUUACCAAAUCUUGACAUCCCCCUGACCGGCGUGUAAUGGCGCCUUUCCUUCGGGACAGGGGAGACAGGUGGUGCAUGGUUGUCGUCAGCUCGUGUCGUGAGAUGUUGGGUUAAGUCCCGCAACGAGCGCAACCCUUAUCCUUAGUAGCCAUCAUUAAGCUGGGCACUCUAGGGAGACUGCCGGGGAUAACCCGGAGGAAGGCGGGGACGACGUCAAAUCAUCAUGCCCCUUAUGAUUUGGGCUACACACGUGCUACAAUGGCGUAAACAAAGGGAAGCGACCCCGCGAGGGCAAGCAAAUCCCAGAAAUAACGUCUCAGUUCGGAUUGUAGUCUGCAACUCGACUACAUGAAGCUGGAAUCGCUAGUAAUCGCAAAUCAGAAUGUUGCGGUGAAUACGUUCCCGGGUCUUGUACACACCG
rnacentral:rRNA from 1 species